CUUCAGUGAUGAUUCGAUGACGAGUCGGAAUUGGGCUCCGUCUCUUCUGUGGUGACUUGCUCAGGGUCACGUUCUGUGCCUCUGAGUUCAGCCCACAGUGGAGCGGGGUCCUUAUCAGUUGAAGACAUAGAGGCAUUUGUCUGAGAAGG